rnacentral:tRNA from 1 species
AUUUAGGUAGCUUAACUUAAAGCACAUCUCUGAAGAAGAUAAAAUGAGGAAUCUCCCUAAAUA